rnacentral:rRNA from 1 species
UACGAAGGGGGCUAGCGUUGCUCGGAAUCACUGGGCGUAAAGCGCACGUAGGCGGGUUCUUAAGUCAGGGGUGAAAUCCUGGAGCUCAACUCCAGAACUGCCUUUGAUACUGGGAAUCUCGAGUCCGGGAGAGGUGAGUGGAACUGCGAGUGUAGAGGUGAAAUUCGUAGAUAUUCGGCGGAACACCAGUGGCGAAGGCGACUCACUGGCCCGAUACUGACGCUGAGGCGCGAAAGCGUGGGGAGCAAACAGG